rnacentral:tRNA from 1 species
GGCUGUAGCUCAGUGGCAGAGCACUUGCCUAGCAUGUGUGAGGCACUGGGUUUGAUCCUCAGCACCA